rnacentral:rRNA from 1 species
UACAGAGGUCUCAAGCGUUGUUCGGAUUCAUUGGGCGUAAAGGGUGCGUAGGUGGCGGGGUAAGUCUGGUGUGAAAUCUCGGGGCUCAACCCCGAAACUGCACUGGAUACUGCCUUGCUUGAGGACUGGAGAGGAGACUGGAAUUCAUGGUGUAGCAGUGAAAUGCGUAGAGAUCAUGAGGAAGACCAGUGGCGAAGGCGGGUCUCUGGACAGUUCCUGACACUGAGGCAACGAAGGCCCAGGGGAGCAAACGGG